UCUUUUCCUUUUUUUCCAGCCGCCGCGGUAAUACGUAGGGAGCGAGCGUUGUCCGGAAUUACUGGGUGUAAAGGGAGCGUAGGCGGGACGGCAAGUCAGAUGUGAAAACUAUGGGCUCAACCCAUAGACUGCAUUUGAAACUGUUGUUCUUGAGUGAGGUAGAGGUAAGCGGAAUUCCUGGUGUAGCGGUGAAAUGCGUAGAGAUCAGGAGGAACAUCGGUGGCGAAGGCGGCUUACUGGGCCUUUACUGACGCUGAGGCUCGAAAGCGUGGGGAGCAAACAGG
rnacentral:rRNA from 1 species